UGCCCCAUCAUGGCACGUGGAGCUGCCCCAUCACCAUGGCAAGUGGAGCUACCCCAUCAUGGCACGUGGAGCUGCCCCAUCAUGGCACGUGGAGCUGCCCCAUCACCAUGGCAAGUGGAGCUACCCCAUCAUGGCACGUGGAGCUGCCCCAUCAUGGCACGUGGAGCUGCCCCAUCAUGGCAAGUGGAGCUACCCCAUCAUGGCACGUGGAGCUGCCCCAUCAUGGCACGUGGAGCUGCCCCAUCACCAUGGGACAAGGAAGCACAAGAGGCCAGAACAAGUUCCCGUCCAGUAAUGUGAGCGCUGUGGUGCCCUGUGGUGCUGCCCAGGAACAGUCACAAUUCCUUUCGUGUUGCUAGAUGCACAUCCUUGACUGUGGCUGGAGCCUGCGGCUUGGGAACAACAGGGAAAGGGACGUUUCUGCAGGGUCUGAUGGAGUUAUAGCUCCUGCUCUCCUGCUGAGCCUGUCACCUGGCUCUGUGUCAGCUUCUCUUGUGGAAUAUUGGAGAAAGCAUUAGCCCAGUUUUCCAGUGGACAUCGCUGCCCAGCACUUCCCCAGCCUCUACUGCUUUGGACUGGAGUGUGGUAUAACCCUGCCAGCAGCCUUGGUUGGAACUACUUUUGGUCACUGCAGACAUUUUAAGUGUCUGGGAUACUUCAGUAUUCCCGCUGUGUUAUGGACUGGUGCAGGACUGUCUCCUUUCUCAGUCUUCCCACUUUUUCUGCUAGGAUGUCUUGUAGUGAUCUGAAGUGAGAAACGAGAUGUGCUCCAACAGCUCCAUGUCUCUCCUGUGCUGAGGACACCAGAGCUGGACACCAUACCCCAGGUGGGGUCUCAACCAGAGCAGAGGGGCAGAAUCACUUCCCUCAACCUGCUGGCCAUGAGUCAGGGAUAUGGCCACAUCUCAGUAGAAGGAAAAUGGGAGAGAGAGCAGCAGGGCAAGACCAACCAUGGCUGGCACUGGAAAGGCUCUCAUGGUUGCAGCUCCAUGGGCCAAAGAGCAUGGGAGAACAGAGCAGCCUUCUCCCUCCAGCAGCCAGGGGAAAGGUGAGUAAAGACAAACCAUCCCCAAGACCCAAAUCGGUGUUAAUGUGUUGUUUUAGAUAAUGA